UACGGGGGGGGCAAGCGUUGUUCGGAAUUACUGGGCGUAAAGGGCUCGUAGGCGGCCAACUAAGUCGGAUGUGAAAUCCCCAGGCUUAACCCGGAAAGGUCAAUCGAUACUGCGGGGCUAGAGUGCAGAAGGGGCAACUGGAAUUCUCGGUGUAGCGGUGAAAUGCGUAGAUAUCGAGAGGAACACCUGCGGCGAAGGCGGGUUGCUGGGUUGACACUGACGCUGAAGCGCGAAAGCUAGGGGAGCGAACGGG
rnacentral:rRNA from 1 species